AAACAUCAUUUUGUGUGUAAGUGUGUAUUAGUACAUGCUAACGAUAUUCAAAAAGUACAUACCUCAAAGAAAACGAUGACGCGAGUUAUCGUCUCUAACGUUCGAGGACUACAAAAAACACUCGGAUUGUAGGCAACAGUUUACUUCCUGGGAUUAGUGACGUAGAUAAGACCAACAUUAUCAUAGUUCAGCCCUCUCUGCUUUGCUUGGGUACGCCCUCAAAGACGAGGGUGGGGAGCGCCGAGUCAGAAGAGAGCUAAAAUGGCGGAGGUUGGGAGUCCCUGCUUUGACUCUGUUUGCAAACUCUUGUUUCAUCGUUUAAGCGAUUAAAUCUCUCGAGUAGACGCUGUCUCUUUAGAUGCGAGGGCAAAAUAGCACUUUAUGGACUUCCACAGAGGACAUCAUGUUUAAUACGGUUCCGGAAAAAUCCAGUCAGAAGUUGUUCACGGAGUUUUCACAAUAACUGCUUCUCAUGAACCGAAGCUGGACGUCUCCUCCUGAAAGUUGGAUUACUGUGCACUUCUGGAUCACAGGCUAUUCGCAGCUGGACACAUCCUUCUACACUGUAUGCAAACAUGCAACAUCAUAACACACAGUACAAGGAGUCAGACUGGCAUAUGAGGAGCAAAGGUGUGUAACACACAUGAUGUAUUUAGCUAGUGAAACCACUACCAGUCUUAAAUGUAUAACUGAUGAUGACAAAGUUUUUUUUCUCUGCAUAAUCAUAGGAACCCAGGCAGUAGCAUCGUUUCACAAUGUUUCCAUCACCAUCAUCAGUGGAUGCCUUUGCCGUCCGUAGCCUGAGAUUUCAGAUUUGCAGCAAAAAAAUUUGAUUUUCUCAUUUAUUGGAAUGCUAUGCAGGUUGUACCUUGCAGCCAUCCAUUACAAUGUCACCAAGCUGUAACAAAAGCAGGAGAGGGAAAGUACAAGGCUAUGUUCCCAAAACACAAAUGACAUACCUUAUGUGGAUGAUGUGAUCAGGCUUGUGUUUGAUGAGGUAUUUGAAGAUAAGCUGAAGGAAACCCUGAUUCCAAUGGACCUGGCAUCACAGUUUGAGAGACCUUCAAAGGAGGACGUGAUUGCAUGCCAUC